rnacentral:lncRNA from 1 species
UUCCUCGCCGCUUCCCCAGGCACUCUCCCGGCGGCGGCAGCUGCGCCGCCAAAGCCCCGGGCCCCAGCGGCCCCCCACCCCUCACUCGCGCGCUCCCACACUGCCUCCCCCCUCCCCGGGGGAAGGCCUUUUAAUUUAUUUAUUCUGCUGGGACUUAGGUGGGGGGCUUGGCUGGCGGGGGAGGGGGUCUCCCCGGGCUCUACCUCCCGCGGCUGGGGCUACCCUCCGAGCUGCGGCCGCCUCGGCUUGCGCCUCGGACCUCCAAAACUGUUUGCAAACUGACAAGACCCGAGAGCAGUAAACAGUCCUCAGCGAAGCCGCCUUUUGCCAACCCAACCCUGGAAAGUUUGCAGAAGUGGAAGGAGCAGAAAAUGCCAUGAGAGUGUAACUUUAAAAAGGCUCACGACCGGAGAAGAGGUAUCCCCAACGUUGACCGUCUUUUUUCGGACAGCAGAAACAGGUCCAGUUUGACUCUGACAAUCUUCCCGCUAAGGAAUUCCUGGUGAAUAGAGGAAUGACACCGGUCCUCAGAACAUCUCGCAGGCUGGAGUGAAUGACACAGUUUGCUCAGAGUGGGUGACCCUUCUAAGUGAAAUCUCCCAAGGUUCCUCCAGGUGAGGCAGUCUUACUCUCCCAGCCACUCCCUGAGCUUCGGGGUCCCUGAUGCGGGGCAAGCCUGAGGCAGCCAAAGGGAAGAGGCUUGUGCCUGGCUCAAAGGUAAGUGCUUCCCCCGCUCCCUCCAAGCCCUCUUCCAUCCUCUCCCUCCCUAAGUGAUGCCCCCCCCCUCCGCUCCAGUGGUCCUGAGGAAUCUCACUUCUGACAUGUAUUUGGACCUGUUUCCCUCCUCUUUUGCUAGCUUCCAGCUGCCACUGUGCACCCCAGCCCUGUCCCAGCCUCACCAGCCAAUCACAGCUCCUCCCUGGUCAUGGGAAAAGCUUUGUCUGGGCUCCUCUCCUGUUAAGAGCCUCUGUCCAGCACCCCUCUUGAGCCUGGCAACCAGGCCUCCACGAUCUAACCCUGGUUACUAACUUGACAAUCAUGUCUGGCCUCCCUCACUCCCCAGCCACUGCCAAACCUGAUAUGAUGUCUAGCCACCAUACACUUACCCAGGCUGGGUACCCAUCCUACUUCUGCUGGCCUUUCCUGCCAGCACUGACAAGCUUGGUUCAUGUGCUGCCUGCCUCUCAACCUUCUCUGAACCCUAGAGGCUCUGGUGUCUAAAUUGUUCACAUCUCAGAACGCUUCCCCCAAGACUGAGUUCCUCAGAGGCAGGAACACAAUUCCCUCUCAAUAAACUUGUGCUG